GCCGGCUCGGGAGCUUCGGCCGCGCGGGAGCGCCGGCCGGGUGUCCAGCGCCAGACAGGCUUCGUCGUCCUCCACCCUCGGCGAGGGGAGCGGCCGGGCUCGGGUCCGGAGGCUCGCGAGGAGCCGCUGGCCCUGUGAGUCAGUGCCUGUGCGGGGCUGAAGAAGGAAAGGAGAGGCCCCCAGCGCCCCAGCCCCACACUCGCUGAAUACCAAGCUGCAGCGAGCUGCCGGGUGCUUUUUUUUUUUUUUAAUCUCCUCCGAUUCGGAGUAGAAGAUCCACACUGCUUUCCUUCCAGGGGAGGGGAGGGGCAGGGCCCGAGGUCCCAAGUCGCACACAAGUCUUCGCUGCCAUGGGGGCCGUCAUGGGCACCUUCUCCUCUCUGCAAACCAAACAAAGACGACCCUCGAAAGGU
rnacentral:lncRNA from 1 species